rnacentral:lncRNA from 1 species
GAGUUCCUGUGGCCCACAGAGGCUAUGGCAAAUCUGCAGAUCUCUGGAGCUCAAAACAGGUGCACACUGCCUAAGGUCAGCCUUCCCUUUAGUCAGCCACCCCCUCUGAUGUGAUGUAUUUGAGAAAGAGGGGUUUUCUGCUAAGCAGAGGCCUCACUGUUUUGCCUGUCCCUGAACUGGCUGCUCCACACCCCUCAGGGCAAAACUGCUGCAGCUGCAGCAAGCCCUGCAAGAAGUAAGAGGGACCAAAGGCUUCUACUUCCCAGCUCAGCCCUGACUGACCUGACUCUCCUUAUCUCCAACAUCAAAGCUGUCUGGCAUUCAAGUUUUCCUCAUCCCCUGGAAGCCAUGGAGAGAAAAAUCCAUCCCUAACCAAGGACCCACCCACCCAUGACGGCUUCCUGCAUUUCCCGUAUACUUCUCAGGUCUGAAUUAAGCAGCCUGGAAUAACUGCCAGGUGGGCUCUGGCCCCCACCCACAGACACGUGCCCUUCCAAGGCCUCAUGGGCAGUAGGAGUUGUGAAUAUACCCUUCAGUCUUUGAAAAAUCCAAAACAUUUGUGGAGCCACAUAUCUCACAAGGACAAAUAUUCAUUCUCAAAGGAAGACACAGUCUUCGCACCCACAGGGAAGAGCUGAAUUAUUUUCCUAUCUGCCCUGUAAUCUGCUCACUGGGAAGUUAGUAGCUGACAGCAUCUGUAGAACCUUCAAACAGUGCCCACUCACAGGACUACCAGACAUAGGAGGAGCAUUUACUACUGGACUAAGACCCAGAAGAAGCUUUGAAAUUCCCUCCGACGGACAUCCACACCCUUCUUAUGCAGGGCCUCCUCUGUGAAGCUGGUUUCCUGCAAGUGAUGGUUCACUCUUUGCGUACCUUCGCCCUCCCGGCUUUCAGCGGAGGCGUUUCCACCUAUGAGAGAGUCGUCGGUGUUAACCUCUGUUCUACUGACCAUCUUGCCCCCACCUCGUCAGCCCGUCGGCGGAGAACAUCUCAUGGCGGCUGUUGAGGGCCCAAAAGAGCUGGCAGAAUCCAUAGACUUCAGUUUCUCUGAAGAUGAUGAUGCCCACAGACGGUGUCUUCAGGAAGCUCUUAAACGAAGAUGAUAAGAAUCCAGAACCAAAGCAUCCGAGACUCGGUGUCUAGUUAUUCCAAGUGUCUUACCCCACAAACAACAGUGUAUUUGCUCCAAAGAAACAAGAUACUAAGAAUAAUAAGGAGGAAUAUGCUAAAAUUGUAUCCAAGAGAAUGAAAGAAGUCAAGAAAAAUGCCAGGAGCAGAUUACCAAGAGAAACUGGCUAUUAUAGUUUAUAUGUAGAUGUCCCUCCCCAAAGUCUCAUGCCCUCAUAGGUAGGACUUUGGGGAGGUGAUUGUAUUGUGGGGAACUACACUUACCAGCAAAUCAGUCUGCCAAUGAGUUUAUAGUAAAUGUGAGGCUGGGAGGUGGAGCCCGGUCAGAGAAGGUGGGUCACUGAGGGUGUGGCCUCGAAGGAUCUAUUGCCUUCCCCCACUCAGUCUCUUCACUCUCUCUGCUCCCCCCACCCCACGCUAUGAGCAGCUCUCCUUUGUCAUGCCUGUCUGCCAUGCCACCCUGCCUUAGAGCUAACUGACUAUUACCUGAAACUUCUUCUCCUUUAAGUUGCAAGUGUCAGGUAUGAUAGAUCAGCAAGGAGGAACGUGACUAAAACAGCUGUCCUUUCCGAGAGAGAUUUUACAUCUGAGUUCCCAAAAAAUUAAGAAUCUUUAAGGGUAACAACAACAACAACAUAAGGUCACACCUAAAAAAAAAAAAAAAAAAAAAAAAAACUACUAUGAGAUAUGACUAUGAGGUACCCACACCAAUAUAGCUAAAUUUAAAAGUCUAAUAAGAAAAGCAAUAGAAACUCUC